CUAGUCCAUGUAAAACACAAAACACCAAACACCAAACUCCUCUAUUCCUUUCACGUAAAAACAAAAACAAAAAAAAACCAAAACCUCUCCUCUAUUUCAUUCACGUCAGGGAAACUCUCAAACAUUUUUCUCCUCCUUGCGCAGCCGCCGGCCAGCCGCCACACCGGACCACCGACCGCCGGUCCUCCCCUUCCCCGCCACACCACCAUCAGCCACCAUCAACCGCACACCACCACCAACACCAGUCGCGCAGCCACCGCGCCGUGUUGUUGCUACCGCGCCCUCCACGCACAGCAGCGCUCGUGCCCCUUCUCUUCGUGUUCGUCCUCCCUUCUUCGCGUCAUUGCAGCAACCUUCCAGCCACGAUUUUGUCGCGCCGCCGCCAACCACCCUGCACAACACUGCAGCCGCCGUCCUUUCCUUCGGUCGGCGCCCCCUCACUCUCUUCUCUUUUGGCGGAGAAUUCUCUUUAGGCGACUUUUGAAAGUGUUAAAGUGGCCUAUUAGUUUGUUUACACGAGUCUCUAAGGAUCAAUAAGCGUUGCCCAUCUACAGGUUUGAAGAUGAUGCAUCAUUGGAAUCGGGAUUAGAGAGCUUGUAUUUAGUUUUGUUUUGCUAAGUGACUUGGUUUGUUAAUUUGGACUUUAAACUUGUCGUACAAUUUAUAUUUCCUUAUUUUCGUUGGUUGGUUUUUGGGAUUAAACCUGUAAUGGGUUAUUUAUAAACCUAAAGUUAGUUUUAUUUUUUCCGCUGCAAAAUUCUGAAUAAGUGGUUACGUUUUCACACGGGCGAUAAUACUUUGAUAAUUCUCUAUAGUUAUGUUUUAAAAGGGGAAUGUCGGGGUGUUACAAAGUGGUAUCUAGAAGCUUGUGGUUUUAAUUCAAUAAUUUUUAGGCGCCUAAACUAGCUAGUUUUCUAAAACGAAUUUUCUAGGAUUGAGCUCCUACUCACUAUAUUAUUCAAAAAUGCGUACUUUUUUUUGGGGGACCAAAUUUAUUUUAUUUUGUUU